AAGAAAGAAGCAUAAGUGGUUUGAUGCGGUUGGCUUGAAACCAGCGUACGAGGGUUCGACUCCUU
rnacentral:tRNA from 3 species